AUUGAAUUGUUUUUAGGUCCCAAAAACAUAUCUGGGAAUGAUGGUUGGAUCAGUUUGUGCGCUAAUGGGAGUGUUAACUAUUGCUCUUCCGGUACCUGUUAUUGUUUCCAAC
rfam:Heterorhabditis bacteriophora unplaced genomic scaffold Scaffold1123, whole genome shotgun sequence.